rnacentral:rRNA from 1 species
AUUGAACGCUGGCGGCAGGCCUAACACAUGCAAGUCGAGCGGAUGAAGGGAGCUUGCUCCUGGAUUCAGCGGCGGACGGGUGAGUAAUGCCUAGGAAUCUGCCUGGUAGUGGGGGAUAACGUCCGGAAACGGGCGCUAAUACCGCAUACGUCCUGAGGGAGAAAGUGGGGGAUCUUCGGACCUCACGCUAUCAGAUGAGCCUAGGUCGGAUUAGCUAGUUGGUGGGGUAAAGGCCUUCCAAGGCGGCGAUCCGUAACUGGUCUGAGAGGAUGAUCAGUCACACUGGAACUGAGACACGGUCCAGACUCCUACGGGAGGCAGCAGUGGGGAAUAUUGGACAAUGGGCGAAAGCCUGAUCCAGCCAUGCCGCGUGUGUGAAGAAGGUCUUCGGAUUGUAAAGCACUUUAAGUUGUGAUGAAGGGCAGUAAGUUAAUACCUUGCUGUUUUGACGUUACCAACAGAAUAAGCACCGGCUAACUUCGUG